GUAUGUACUUAUAUAGGGUGCGUACAGUGAAUCUGGUUGGGUUCCUUUCCUAGCAAAUCAGUAUUUUAGGAAAUAGCUGGUGGGUUUCGGGGUCUUAGCUCAAGGCAACCUAGAAGAAAGCCCAGUUGUCAAGCCUGCCAGAUCAGGCCCAGAAACCAGGAAACACCAGAGUAACCAAGUCCUAAAGACACAUCUGGACAAACAGCUGGGACUGCCGUGUCCACUCACAGCAUCCAGAGGUCACCAGUGACAUAAGGAGGUCCCAAUGGAGCCCAAAAUACCCAACCAGAGCUGCUCAGUCUCUCAUAGCUGGGGGCAGUUUGUGACCCUCAGUAUUGUCCAGGUUGACCUGCAGCUGCUCAGUGCCUCCAGCAAGCUUGCAGGCUCACCACCUUGGCGUACUGGUAACGUGCAGAAUCAAAGUCCACAACCCAUGUAAGAUUUUAAAGUAGGCAUGUUUAUUGUGGCACCGUGUGCGAGGGGUAUAUCACCUCCUUACUCACACACCGAGAACAGCAGUGGUUAUAAAUUUAAAGACAUAACAUAGACAUAUUUGUUACAUUCCAAGAAAACCGGCUGGAAUCCUGAGAAAUUACUAACAUGUUGUACCACGCUCUUGGGGUGGUGGGGGUCUCUUGUGGUUGUUGGUAAACAGCCGAGAGCGGCUUGGCAGUCACCUCUGCCAGCUCCCUCAGGAGUCUGUGGAGGGGCUUUUCCUGUCCCCCGUGCUGUGCACCGUCUUCCUGCACUGCUGGCUCCUGACAUUUUUCACGUGGUGCUGCAUGAGGAUCGUCAUAAGUCUCUCCAUUAGGGUUAUGUAGGCAUCCAUCUGGCAGAGCAGGUCGAGAGCAUUUAUGUUG
ensembl:lncRNA